CCUACGGGAGGCUGCAGUGGGGAAUAUUGGGCAAUGGGCGCAAGCCUGACCCAGCAACGCCGCGUGAAGGAAGAAGGCUUUCGGGUUGUAAACUUCUUUUAAGGGGGAAGAGCCGAGGACGGUACCCCUUGAAUAAGCCACUGCUAACUACGUGCCAGCAGCCGCGGUCAUACGUAGGUGGCAAGCGUUGUCCGGGUUUACUGGGUGUAAAGGGCGUGCCGCCGGCGAGAAAAGGCAGAUGUGAAAGUCACGGGCUCAACCCGGGAACUGCAUUUGAAACUGUUUCCCUUGAGUGUCGGAGAGGUAAUCGGAAUUCCUUGUGUAGCGGUGAAAUGCGUAGAUAUAAGGAAGAACACCAGUGGCGAAGGCGGAUUACUGGACGAUAACUGACGGUGAGGCGCGAAAGCGUGGGGAGCAAACAGGAUUAGAUACCCCAGUAGUC
rnacentral:rRNA from 1 species